rnacentral:misc_RNA from 1 species
GGGUUUUUUAUUUUAUACUUCAAAUCUUGAAUUUAUUUUUUAUAUUUUUUUAAAUGUUUAUUUUUUUGAAUGUUUGAUUUAAAAAAAUAUAAAAAAUAAAAUAGAUAUUGACAUGGAUUAAACAAAGAUAUAUAUUAUUCUAUGUUGCAUAAACAAAUUGGCAAAGUAA